GACGUAGGGCGCGAGCGUUGUCCGGAUUUAUUGGGCGUAAAGAGCUCGUAGGCGGUCUGUCGCGUCGAACGUGAAAACUUGGGGCUUAACCCUGAGCUUGCGGUCGAUACGGGCAUGACUGGAGUUCGGCAGGGGAGACUGGAAUUCCUGGUGUAGCGGUGAAAUGCGCAGAUAUCAGGAGGAACACCGGUGGCGAAGGCGGGUCUCUGGGCCGAUACUGACGCUGAGGAGCGAAAGCGUGGGGAGCGAACAGG
rnacentral:rRNA from 1 species